rnacentral:rRNA from 1 species
GUGGGGAAUAUUGGACAAUGGGCGAAAGCCUGAUCCAGCCAUGCCGCGUGUGUGAAGAAGGUCUUCGGAUUGUAAAGCACUUUAAGUUGGGAGGAAGGGCAGUAAGUUAAUACCUUGCUGUUUUGACGUUACCAACAGAAUAAGCACCGGCUAACUUCGUGCCAGCAGCCGCGGUAAUACGAAGGGUGCAAGCGUUAAUCGGAAUUACUGGGCGUAAAGCGCGCGUAGGUGGUUCAGCAAGUUGGAGGUGAAAUCCCCGGGCUCAACCUAGGAACUGCCUCCAAAACUGCAUGGCUAGAGUACGGUAGGGGGUAGUGGAAUUUCCUGUGUAGCGUUGAAAUGCGUAGAUAUAGGAAGGAACACCAGUGGCGAAGGCGACUACCUGGACUGAUACUGACACUGAGGUGCGAAAGCGUGGGGAGCAAACAGGAUUAGAUACCCCAGUAGUCC